AUUGAACGCUGGCGGCAGGCCUAACACAUGCACGUCGAACGAGUGGCGGACGGGUGAGUAAUGUCUGGGAAACUGCCCGAUGGAGGGGGAUAACUACUGGAAACGGUAGCUAAUACCGCAUAGCAUCGGAUGGGCCCAGAUGGGAUUAGCUAGUAGGUGGGGUAACGGCUCACCUAGGCAACUAUCCCUAGCUGGUCUGAGAGGAUGACCAGCCACACUGGAACUGCGCCACGGUCCAGACUCCUACGAGAGGCAGCAGUGGGGAAUAUUGCCCAAUGGGCGCAAGCCUGAUGCAGCCAUGCCGCGUGUAUGAAGGAGGCCUUCGGGUUGUAGAGUACUUUCAGCGGGGAGGCGUUACCCGCAGAAGAAGCACCGGCUAACUCCGUGCCAGCAGCCGCGGUAAUAC
rnacentral:rRNA from 1 species